rnacentral:rRNA from 1 species
GGCGCACCCGUCUCUGUUGCAAAAGAGUGGGACGAUUCUUGAGUAGGAGCAACAAACCUACCGAGCCCGGCUAUAGCUGGUUGUCUGGGAUAUGAAUUUGAGUUCAGCCCUCCGGGCCCACAGUCCAACAAACACACAAGGACCCACACAGACCCGGGGGAGUUAAUUAAAGGGGGUACAGCUCCUUUAAUAACAAGAUACAACUUCAAAAGGCGGAUAAGGAUCAUAACUUAAUAAAAGGCUUCGUGCUGUAGUAGGCCUGAAAGCAGCCACCUAUGUUGAUAGCGUUAAAGCUCAAGCACCCCCACCCCACCCAUGCCGACAACUUCAUCCGAACCCCCUAACCCUACCAGACCGCUAUGUAUUAAUACAUAAGUGAUUCUGCUAAUAUGAGUAACAAGGAGUCUCUUAAAGGACCUCCUCCUAGCACACGUGUACAGCGAAACGGACCCCCAUCGCCAUCUAACGACGCCACUACAAGAGGCAACUGGGCUGAGAUUUAGACAAUUGAAAAACCACCCAGGGAACACACGUUAACCCCACACCGGAGUGCACCAGGGAAAGACUUAACGAGGGAAAAGGAACUCGGCAAACUAAGGCCUCGCCUGUUUACCAAAAACAUCGCCUCCCGCCCACAAAGAAUGGGAGGUCCCGCCUGCCCCGUGACUAUAUGUUUAACGGCCGCGGUAUUUUAACCGUGCGAAGGUAGCGCAAUCAAUUGUCUCUUAAUUGGGGACCUGUAUGAAUGGCAUAACGAGGGCCUAUCUGUCUCUUUCCUCAAGUCAGUGAAAUUGAUCUUCCCGUACAAAAGCGGGCAUAGACACACGGGACGAGAAGACCCUGUGGAGCUUAAAACAACCGAGGACUCAGCUCAAACACCCCCAUUAAAGGGACUAGCGUACUGACCCUUCCUCGCAUGUUUUCGGUUGGGGCGACCAAGGGAUACAAUAGAACUCCCAUGUGGAUUGGAGCACACUCCACAACUAAAACUCGCUUGUUUAAGUGCCAGAAUAUCUGACCUACGGAUCCGGCAAAGCCGAUUGACGAACCAAGUUACCCCAGGGAUAACAGCGCAAUCCUCUCCUAGAGCCCCUAUCGACGAGGGGGUUUACGACCUCGAUGUUGGAUCGGGACUCCCUAAUGGUGCAGCCGCUAUU